UACGAAGGACCCAAGCGUUAUCCGGAUUCAUUGGGUUUAAAGGGUGCGCAGGCGGGCCUAUAAGUCAGUGGUGAAAGCCCUUCGCUUAACGAAGGAAUUGCCAUUGAUACUGUAGGUCUUGAGUACAGUUGAGGUGGGCGGAAUGUGUCAUGUAGCGGUGAAAUGCUUAGAUAUGACACAGAACACCGAUUGCGAAGGCAGCUCGCUAAACUGUAACUGACGCUGAGGCACGAAAGCGUGGGUAGCAAACAGG
rnacentral:rRNA from 1 species